UACGUAGGGGGCAAGCGUUGUCCGGAUUUAUUGGGCGUAAGGAGCGUGUAGGCGGCCAGGUAGGUCUGCUGUGAAAACUCGAGGCUCAACCUCGAGAUGUCGGCGGAAACCAUCUGGCUAGAGUCCGGAAGAGGAGAAUGGAAUUCCCGGUGUAGCGGUGAAAUGCGCAGAUAUCGGGAAGAACACCCGUGGCGAAGGCGGUUCUCUGGGACGGUACUGACGCUGAGACGCGAAAGCGUGGGGAGCGAACAGG
rnacentral:rRNA from 1 species